rnacentral:rRNA from 1 species
UACGGGAGGCAGCAGUGAGGAAUAUUGGUCAAUGGGCGAGAGCCUGAACCAGCCAAGUAGCGUGAGGGACGACUGCCCUAUGGGUUGUAAACCUCUUUUGUUUGGGAAUAAAGUGGGCCACGGGUGGCCUUUUGUAUGUACCUUACGAAUAAGCAUCGGCUAAUUCCGUGCCAGCAGCCGCGGUAAU